CAGUCGCCGCGGUAAUACGAAGGGUGCAAGCGUUAAUCGGAAUUACUGGGCGUAAAGCGUGCGUAGGCGGUUUGUUAAGUCUGCUGUGAAAUCCCCGGGCUCAACCUGGGAAUGGCAGUGGAUACUGGCUCGCUAGAGUGUGUCAGAGGAUGGUGGAAUUCCCGGUGUAGCGGUGAAAUGCGUAGAGAUCGGGAGGAACAUCAGUGGCGAAGGCGGCCAUCUGGGACAACACUGACGCUGAGGCACGAAAGCGUGGGGAGCAAACAGGAUUAGAUACCCGCGUAGUCCCUGUCUCUUAUAC
rnacentral:rRNA from 1 species